UACGUAGGGUGCAAGCGUUAAUCGGAAUUACUGGGCGUAAAGCGUGCGCAGGCGGUUGUGCAAGUCCGAUGUGAAAUCCCCGGGCUUAACCUGGGAACUGCAUUUGUGACUGCACGGCUAGAGUGUGUCAGAGGGGAGUAGAAUUCCACGUGUAGCAGUGAAAUGCGUAGAUAUGUGGAGGAAUACCGAUGGCGAAGGCAGCCCCCUGGGAUAACACUGACGCUCAUGCACGAAAGCGUGGGGAGCGAACAGG
rnacentral:rRNA from 1 species